UACCAGCACCCCGAGUGGUCGGGACGAUUAUUGGGCCUAAAGCAUCCGUAGCCGGUUUUACAAGUCUUCCGUUAAAUCCAACUGCUUAACAGGUGGGCUGCGGAAGAUACUAUGGAGCUAGGAGGCGGGAGAGGCAAGCGGUACUCGAUGGGUAGGGGUAAAAUCCGUUGAUCCAUUGAAGACCACCAGUGGCGAAGGCGGCUUGCCAGAACGCGCUCGACGGUGAGGGAUGAAAGCUGGGGGAGCAAACCGG
rnacentral:rRNA from 1 species